rnacentral:rRNA from 1 species
AAUCAACGCUGGCGGCGUGCCUAACACAUGCAAGUCGAACGCGAAAGCCCCGCAAGGGGUAAGUAGAGUGGCAAACGGGUGAGUAACACGUGGGUGACCUGCCUUCGAGUGGGGGAUAACGUCCCGAAAGGGACGCUAAUACCGCAUGACAUCCUGCUUUUGAAAAAGCGGAGAUCAAAGCUGGGGAUCGCAAGACCUAGCGCUUGAAGAGGGGCCCGCGCCUGAUUAGCUAGUUGGUGAGGUAACGGCUCACCAAGGCGACGAUCAGUAUCCGGCCUGAGAGGGCGGACGGACACACUGGGACUGAGACACGGCCCAGACUCCUACGGGAGGCAGCAGUGGGGAAUUGUUCGCAAUGGGCGCAAGCCUGACGACGCAACGCCGCGAGGAGGACGAAGAUCUUCGGGUCGUAAACUCCUGUCGAGCGGGACGAACGCUUCGCGGAUGAAUAAUCCGCGGAAUUGACGGUACCGCUAAAGGAAGCCCCGGCUAACUCCGUG